rnacentral:rRNA from 1 species
CCUACGGGAGGCAGCAGUGGGGAAUAUUGCUCAAUGGGCGAAACCCUGAUGCAGCAACGCCGCGUGGGGGAAGGAGCGUUUCCGCGCGUAAAGCCCUGUCAGCGGGGAAGAAGAAAGACGGUACCCGACCAAGAAGCCCCGGCUAACUACGGGCCAGCAGCCUCGGUAAUACGUAGGGGGCGAGCGUUAUCCGGAAGUACGGGGGGUAAAGGGAGCGUAGACGGGGAGGUGAGCCUGAAGUGGAAGCCCGCGGCGCAAACGCGGAACUGCCGUGGGAACUGGUUGGCUGGAGUAUGGGAGGGGUAAGCGGAAUGCGUGGUGUAGCGGUGAAAUGCGUAGAUAUCAGGAGGAACACCGGUGGCGAAGGCAGCGUACUGGACCAUGACUGACGUUGAGGCUCGAAAGCGUGGGGAGCGAACAGGAUUAGAUACCCUGGUAGUC